rnacentral:rRNA from 1 species
GGGGAAUAUUGCGCAAUGGGGGGAACCCUGACGCAGCCAUGCCGCGUGAAUGAAGAAGGCCUUCGGGUUGUAAAGUUCUUUCGGUAUUGAGGAAGGUUGAUGUGUUAAUAGUACAUCAAAUUGACGUUAAAUACAGAAGAAGCACCGGCUAACUCCGUGCCAGCAGCCGCGGUAAUACGGAGGGUGCGAGCGUUAAUCGGAAUAACUGGGCGUAAAGGGCACGCAGGCGGUUAUUUAAGUGAGGUGUGAAAGCCCCGGGCUUAACCUGGGAAUUGCAUUUCAGACUGGGUAACUAGAGUACUUUAGGGAGGGGUAGAAUUCCACGUGUAGCGGUGAAAUGCGUAGAGAUGUGAAGGAAUACCGAAGGCGAAGGCAGCCCCUUGGGAAUGUACUGACGCUCAUGUGCGAAAGCGUGGGGAGCAAACAGGAUUAGAUACCCUGGUAGUCCACGCUGUAAACGCUGUCGAUUUGGGGAUUGGGCUUAAAGCUUGGUGCCCGUAGCUAACGUGAUAAAUCGACCGCCUGGGGAGUACGGCCGCAAGGUUA